AUGGCAGAAUUUGAAGAACUCAGGGAAACUGAAUUAGAGUUUUUGAUAUGGACUGAAUCAUUGUGGAAUUAUUAUAAGAAACUCUUCGGCAGUGGAACAACCCUUGCUGUCACAGAUAAACACCUUGAUGCAGAUGUUUCACCCAAGCCCACUAUUUUUCUUCCUUCCAUUGCUGAAACAAACCUCCACAAGGCUGGAACAUACCUUUGUCUUCUUGAGAAAUUUUUCCCAGAUGUUAUUGAGAUACGUUGGCAAGAAAAGAACAGCAACCAGGUUCUGAAAUCCCAAGAGGGGAACACCAUGAAGACUAACAACACAUACAUGAAAUUUAGCUGGUUAACUGUGCCAGAAAAGUCACUGGAUAAAGAGCACAGAUGUAUCGUCAGACACGAGAAUAAUAGAAAUGGAGUUGAUCAAGAAAUUAUCUUUCCUCCAAUAAAGACAGAUGUCACCACAGUGGAUCCCAAAGGCAAUUAUUCAGAAGAUGCAAAUGAUGACACCACAGUGGAUCCCAAAGACAAUUAUUCAGGAGAUGCAAAUGAUGACACCACAGUGGAUCCCAAAGACAAUUAUUCAGGAGAUGCAAAUGGGGCUCUCCUUCUGGAAGCCUUUAUCACAGACCGGCCAUCAGGCCUUUGA